CGGGACACGUGGUAUCCUGUCUGAAUAUGGGGGGACCAUCCUCCAAGGCUAAAUACUCCUGACUGACCGAUAGUGAACCAGUACCGUGAGGGAAAGGCGAAAAGAACCCCGGCGAGGGGAGUGAAAAAGAACCUGAAACCGUGUACGUACAAGCAGUGGGAGCCUCUUAAUGGGGUGACUGCGUACCUUUUGUAUAAUGGGUCAGCGACUUAUAUUCUGUAGCAAGGUUAACCGAAUAGGGGAGCCGAAGGGAAACCGAGUCUUAACUGGGCGUUAAGUUGCAGGGUAUAGACCCGAAACCCGGUGAUCUAGCCAUGGGCAGGUUGAAGGUUGGGUAACACUAACUGGAGGACCGAACCGACUAAUGUUGAAAAAUUAGCGGAUGACUUGUGGCUGGGGGUGAAAGGCCAAUCAAACCGGGAGAUAGCUGGUUCUCCCCGAAAGCUAUUUAGGUAGCGCCUCGUGAAUUCAUCUCCGGGGGUAGAGCACUGUUUCGGCAAGGGGGUCAUCCCGACUUACCAACCCGAUGCAAACUGCGAAUACCGGAGAAUGUUAUCACGGGAGACACACGGCGGGUGCUAACGUCCGUCGUGAAGAGGGAAACAACCCAUACCGCCAGCUAAGGUCCCAAAGUCAUGGUUAAGUGGGAAACGAUGUGGGAAGGCCCAGACAGCCAGGAUGUUGGCUUAGAAGCAGCCAUCAUUUAAAGAAAGCGUAAUAGCUCACUGGUCGAGUCGGCCUGCGCGGAAGAUGUAACGGGGCUAAACCAUGCACCGAAGCUGCGGCAGCGACGCUUAUGCGUUGUUGGGUAGGGGAGCGUUCUGUAAGCCUGCGAAGGUG
rnacentral:rRNA from 1 species